GCUUGUCUCAAAGAUUAAGCCAUGCAUGUCUCAGUGCAAGCCGAAUUAAGGUGAAACCGCGAAAGGCUCAUUAAAUCAGCUAUGAUUCAAUUGAUGGUACGAUCACGGUUACUUGGAUAACUGUGGCAAUUCUAGAGCUAAUACAUGCUAAACGAGUUCCGACCGCGGGUUCGAACGAUCUCGCGGAACGAAUGCUUUUAUUAGAACAAAACCAAUCGGAUCUCGUUCGAACGAGAUCCGCAAAUCUAUGACGAAUCUGAAUAACUUUGAGCUGAUCGCACGGUCUCUGGAACCGGCGACGCAUCUUUCAAAUGUCUGACUUAUCAACUUUCGAUGGUAGGCUACGCGCCUACCAUGGUGAUAACGGGUGACGGGGAAUCAGGGUUCGAUCCCGGAGAGGGAGCCUGAGAAACGGCUACCACAUCCAAGGAAGGCAGCAGGCGCGCAAAUUACCCACUCCCGGCACGGGGAGGUAGUGACGAAAAAUAACGAUGCAGGACUCUUUUCGAGGCUCUGCAAUCGGAAUGAGAACACUCUAAAUCAUUUAACGAGUAUCCAUUGGAGGGCAAGUCUGGUGCCAGCAGCCGCGGUAAUUCCAGCUCCAAUAGCGUAUAUUAAAGUUGCUGCGGAUAAAAAGCUCGUAGUUUGAUUUGUGUUCCGAGCAGUCGGUACGCCGUUCGUCGGCGGUCAACUGACUCGCGGCGGAACGUCCUGCCGGUUGACGGAGCGGGAGGCGGCGGAGGCGGCGCGAGUCGUCGCCGCCGCNUCGAGUGGUCGNAGGGGGAAGAGCACCGCGCGAUCUUCGGAUCGCGGCGCGCGCUUCCCUCGUCCGACGACGUUUCUGCGUCCGUCAGUCAUUGAGAAAAUCCCGUCGCGGCGCUCUUAACCGAGUGACGCGCCGGGCCGGCACGUUUACUUUGAACAAAACUGAGUGCUUAAAGCAGGCCGAACCCAAGCGCCUGAAAGUCGGAUGCAUGGAAUAAUGGAAUAGGGCCUCGGUUCUAUUUUGUUGGUUUUCGGAAUUUCCGAGGCAAUGAUUAAUGGGGACAGGCGGGGGCAUUAGUAUUGCGGCGUUAGAGGUGAAAUUCUUGGAUCGUCGCAAGACUAACCUAAGCGAAAGCAUUUGCCAAGGAUGUUUUCCUUAAUCAAGAACGAAAGUUGGAGGUUCGAAGGCGAUCAGAUACCGCCCUAGUUCUUACCGUAAACUAUGCCGGCUAGCGAUCCGUCGAUGUUCGUUCAGAUGAUUCGGCGGGCAGCUUGAGGGAAACCAAAGCCUUCGGGUUCCGGGGGAAGUAUGGUUGCAAAGCUGAAACUUAAA
rnacentral:rRNA from 1 species